rnacentral:rRNA from 1 species
GACGAACGCUGGCGGCGUGCUUAACACAUGCAAGUCGAGCGGUAAGGCCCUUUCGGGGGUACACGAGCGGCGAACGGGUGAGUAACACGUGGGUGACCUGCCCUCAGCUCUGGGAUAAGCCUGGGAAACCGGGUCUAAUACUGGAUAUGACUCCAUGACGCAUGUUGUGGGGUGGAAAGCCUUGUGCGGCUGAGGAUGGGCCCGCGGCCUAUCAGCUUGUGGUGGGGAUGGCCUACCAAGGCGACGACGGGUAGCCGGCCUGAGAGGGCGACCGGCCACACUGGGACUGAGACACGGCCCAGACUCCUACGGGAGGCAGCAGUGGGGAAUCUUGCGCAAUGGCGAAAGCCUGACGCAGCGACGCCGCGUGAGGGAUGACGGCCU